GACGAACCACACAAACGUUAUUCGGAAUUACUGGGCUUAAAGGGUGCGUAGGCUGCGCAGCAAGUUGGGUGUGAAAUCCCUCGGCUCAACCGAGGAACUGCGCCCAAAACUACUGUGCUCGAGGAAGAUAGAGGUGAGCGGAACUUACGGUGGAGCGGUGAAAUGCGUUGAUAUCGUAAGGAACACCUGUGGCGAAAGUGGCUCACUGGGUCUUUUCUGACGCUGAUGCACGAAAGCUAGGGGAGCAAACGGG
rnacentral:rRNA from 1 species